UAUUUGGAGCGUUUAGCUCCGGAGCGGACAGCUUAUCACCUGCUGAUAAGAGAAACAAGCCACGUGAAGGAAGACAGCAGAGAAGGCUGCAAGACAGUCUGUGCAACUUUUACUCGUGCUUGCUUCGGGGUUACGGAUCAUCCGUUAUUGUUUUUACAUUUCUUUACAUUUUUCUGCACUUUUCGUACUUUCCACAAUGAACGGGGAUCGCUGUGAUGAGGAAAGGAAGGAAGAAAGCAAACCCCGGGGGGCUCAGGCAGUACUGGAAUCUCUUUGCCGCCCAGAAGAAUCAGUUCAGCGGGUGCCUCCACACCUCGGGCCGUGGCCAUGUGGCUGUCCUCUUCCUGUAGACCCUCAGCUGGACCAGCGGCCACAUCCCCCUCCUCAGUGACCCCUCAGACAGGGGAGAAUCAAGGUGCCACAGGGCAGGCGGGACUUCUGCCUGGGACUGGGGUGCUGGGGGUGGGUCCUAGGGGGUCCCUCACAACUGUGACCCACCCCAGGAGCCCUGGGUGAGGCCAAAUGGAGGGGUGUGGGGGAAAGGGAAGGCACACGAGAACUGGGCCUCGGCCCCCUCUGACCGCCUCUUGUCUGCCCUUCUCCACGCUCAGCCCAAGGCAACUGUCAGGAGUUGUCACGUGCCCUCUGUGAAAUCACCUGGGAACACGGGGAGGGGACACAACCCGGUCCUGUCCUCCUGUGGCAGGCUCAGGGAGGGCAGAGAGAGGCAUGGAGACAGGGGGUAGGGGCAGCGUGGGAGGCGAUGCGGGCUCUGCAGGAGAACCGCAUGUGGCAGGGGAGGCCCUGCCAAGGUCCCUUGUGCUUGCAGGCAGUUUCCCUGAGAGGCCCUUGACCAUGGCGACUUCCUGCGACUGUGGCCACCACACUAAGACCCAGCCAUCUUCCACCUCCUGGAGUCUCUCUGGAUGGCCAACGUGAGCUGCCGGGGAAAAGUCACAGGCAAACAGGGCUCCCUGGCUGCCCAGGAGAAUGGCCAACAGGAUGGAACUAGGGCUGCUGAGGAAGGACUUUGGACAAGACCCUGUAUCCUUUUUGCAGCAUCCUAGAUGGCCAGCUGUGGGGCAAGCCGCUCGCCUGGGCAAGCUUGCUGGGCAAGCAAGCCGGGGUGGGGGCUUGUGAAGUUGGCAAUAGGCUGUAGUGCUGGAGGAGGAGGAGGAAGAAGAAGAGAUCCUGGUGAGGACACCGUCACAGAUGUGGUCUUCGAACCAGGAGGCAGGUGCUCACCAGACAUGGAAGCUGCUGGCACCUUGAUCUUGAAGCUCCAGGCUCCAGAACUGUGAGAAACUCUGCAAAAGACCUGCCUUUGGAGGUUGGACAUGGUCAGACGCUGCCAGCUGUUUGGGAGAUGUGAGCUCAGCCUCGGGGGGAGAGCAAGAGGAUGCCCGAGGGUGGGAAAGGUUCUGGAAGGAUACUUGAAGAACAUACCCUUCCACUCUGACCCUGGGAGUCACCUCACCGAGAAGGGAACGACAUUUCCAGGCCUCUGCUCCGAGACCCCUGUUACUGCGGGCUGCCUUCCAGACCACUUCGGGGACCUACUAAGGCUCGUGCCUACUCAGGAACAAGACAUCUCGGACAGUCCCAGAUGGCCACCAAGGGGCAAACCCAUUGUCCCCAGGCCCCUGCUACCCACCUCAGGCAGGCAGGGACUGGAGAGGUCAUGGCAUUGGUACCUUUCUAGGUCCUUGGGGAUGAGUGCAGAGGAGAGUCUUGUAAGAGACCAUGCUGGACUUCUAAGCAACGUGGGCCCCAAAUCCUUCUGUGUUUAAGUUGGUUUGCGUUGGGUUUCUGUCACUUGCAGCUACAGGAGUCUUCACGGGUACAGAGGCCAGCCACUUCCUGAGUUGCCAAGUGACCCAUUUAGGCUGUUCCCGCCUUAUCCGAUACCCAACCCCCCGGCUGUGGUUUCUCCUCAUUGCACAGCUCUGUCUCCCUUUCCUCCACCACUUAAACGAGUACUCAGGAAAGGACUGGCCGCUGUCAACUAUACUUUGAAAUUGCCCGUGGAAGUGAUUAUUGGAUGGGCCAGCCCCCCACCCCCACCUCCAGUCCUCCCUGGGUUGGAACUGUCACGUUCUAACUGCACCGCAGAGACGAUUGUGCUCUGUGCCCGGAACAAGAGGAGUCCUGUCUUUCCCAGGGUCGAUGCACCUGCUUGGGUCUGCUGUUAGGCUGCACGUUGUUUGCUUACAGCUUUGUUGUUGUUGUUGUCGUCGUUCUUUUUUGUUUCAAAAACAAUUUGGCGCUUCUCAAGGCUGAUGUGCAGACCCACAGAAUGUGCUCAUUUUGCCAGCUCUGUGCUUUGGGGGAAUCCUUUAGCCUGAAUAACUGGCGGCCGGCUGUGGCCAAGCCCGGGCAGAGCUGAACCCAGUGGGGGUUGGAGGCCAGCCAGGCCGUGGCCUGUCACCCACAAAUAGCUCUUCUAAAGCCCCUCCACAAAGGGUGACACAGAACAAAGACCAGGGGGCAAAGUUAAUUUAUUUGGAUUUUUUUUUUAACAACCAAAAAAUUGUUUGAAGUUACAAAAAAAAGACAACCAUUUACAUUUUAGAACUUUUACACUCUGAGAAUAAGCCACAGUGCCCAGUUUUGGUGAAUGAAAGGCUUAAAAGAUCCCAGCCUGACUGGGUGGUAGUGAUUAUCUAGGUCAUAUUCUCCAGAACGGGCCUUACUCUGUCCAUCUCAUGAAUCGCUCUGCUCUGGAACUUUCAACUCUUAACCCUUUCGAUAUCAAACUUCUUUGCCCCAGAAGGCCUCUUCCAUGUGUCCCUUUCCCUCUCGUCUGUCCUUUGUCUGCCUUUCUUUGUAACUGGCCGCACGUGCCUUCACCCUGGUGUCUCAGCGCCAACAAAACAGCCUCCACCCUCCAGGCAAUUCACAUCCCUCACCUCCUGCAAAGUUGCCUCCAGCUCCUGUCUCCCAGCAAUCACUCCUGGUCUCCCUUGCCCAGUGCCUAUG